AUUGAACGCUGGCGGCAGGCCUAACACAUGCAAGUCGAACGAGUGGCGGACGGGUGAGUAAUGUCUGGGACACUGCUUGUUGGAGGGGGAUAACUACUGGAAACGGUAGCUAAUACCGCAUACCAUCGGAUGUGCCCCGAUGGGAUUAGCUAGUUGGUGGGGUAAAGGCUCACCUAGGCGACGAUCCCUAGCUGGUCUGAGAGGAUGAACAGCAACACGGGAACUGAGACACGGUCCAGACUCCUACGGGAGGCAGCAGUGGGGAAUAUUGCACAAUGGGCGCAAGCCUGAUGCAGCCAUGCCGCGUGUAUGAAGAAGGCCUUCGGGUUGUAAAGGACUUUAAGCGGGGAGGCGUUACCCGCAGAAGAAGCACCGGCUAACUCCGUGCCAGCAGCCGCGGUAAUAC
rnacentral:rRNA from 1 species